rnacentral:hammerhead_ribozyme from 1 species
AUCCAGCUGGCGAGUCCCAAACAGGACGAAAUGCGCAUCCUGGAU